CGCCACCUCCUACGGGAGGCAGCAGUGGGGGAAUAUUGGACAAUGGGCGCAAGCCUGAUCCAGCAAUGCCGCGUGUGUGAAGAAGGCCUGAGGGUUGUAAAGCACUUUCAAUUGUGAAGAAGGGUUCAAGUUUAAUAGACUUGAACAUUGACGUUAACAAUAGACCGAAGCACCGGCUAACUCUGUGCCAGCAGCCGCGGUAAUACAGAGGGUGCAAGCGUUAAUCGGAAUUCCUGGGCGUAAAGCGCGCGUAGGUGGUUUGAUAAGUUGGAUGUGAAAUCCCCGGGCUUAACCUGGGUCGGUCAUUCAAAACUGUCAGACUAGAGUAUGGUAGAGGGUAGUGGAAUUUCUAGUGUAGCGGUGAAAUGCGUAGAUAUUAGAAGGAACACCAGUGGCGAAGGCACUGCCUGGACUGAUACUGACACUGAGGUGCGAAAGCGUGGGUAGCGAACAGGAUUAGAUACCCUGGUAGUCCACGCCGUAAACGAUGACAACUAGACGUUGGGUUCCUUAGAGGACUUAAUGUCGAAGCUAACGCGUUAAGUUGUCCGCCUGGGGAGUACGGUCGCAAGAUUAAAACUCAAAGGAAUUGACGGGGGCCCGCACAAGCGGUGGAGCAUGUGGUUUAAUUCGAUGCAACGCGAACAACCUUACCAUCCCUUGACACCCAGAGAAUCUGUUAGAGAUAGUAGAGUGCCUUCGGGAACUCUGAGACAGGUGCUGCAUGGCUG
rnacentral:rRNA from 1 species